AGUCACUGACAUUAGAUACCCCGGUAGUCCUAGCCGUAAACGAUACUCGCUAGGUGUCGGCCACGGUGCGACCGUUGUCGGUGCCGUAGGGAAGCCGUGAAGCGAGCCACCUGGGAAGUACGGCCGCAAGGCUGAAACUUAAAGGAAUUGGCGGGGGAGCACCGCAACGGGAGGAGCGUGCGGUUCAAUUGGAUUCAACGCCGGACAACUCACCAGGAGCGACGGUUACAUGAAGGCCAGGCUGAUGACCUUGCCUGAUUUUCCG
rnacentral:rRNA from 1 species